GCUUCUGUGGCCUAUUGGUUAGAGCGUCCGCCUCGGAUGCGGGAGGAUGUGGGUUCUAUCCACCGGCAGAGUCA